GCGUGAGCUUGUUUGAGGAAGUGUGAGAGGAGGAAAGAUCCGAACACCUCACACACAAACUCCCUCUCGGUUCAGAUUGCAUACAGACUCACAGUGACAGUCAUCCUCCUCACUGCAUCGUUUGGCACCCUAGAUGCGAGAUGGCAAUGUCUUUUUUUAUAUUAGUAUUGUUAGUGUUUUCCAACGCUUUUGGUCUAAAAAUUUCCGCACCUGCAGUACUGAGUCGUCCACAAGCGGCUCACCCAGGUGACUUUUUACAUCGCAGGUUUAGUUAAUGGAUUUUGUUGUAAUGGAUGUGUGUGAAUAUCCACUUAAUCCAGUGAUCUGAUUGUUCUCUGCGAUCUAAAUUAAGUUUAUUUAUUUAUUUAUUUUUUUUUUACAGACUUCCCCUCAAAUUAUUCAGCGCGUGAGUUUCCGAAUGAUUCACACUUAAUUGUUUCAAAGACCGUUUGAACCGUUUGGCCGAUUCAUUGAAAAGAACCGACUCAAAAGAGCGAUUCAUUCGCGAAGUUUCCCUAAUACACGACAUGAUUUAUCAAAUAUCAUCAGGAUUCAGGGAACAUGUUUCUCACUGACAUUUCAAACAGACGUCUAACAUCAAACACUACUGCAUUCCUGAACAUCGCUUUCCACGACUUUCUUAUCAAACCAUCAAACACAAUGCGGCAACCAACGGGGUGGGGCUCCACAACCAUUUAAACUAAAAAAUGACUUUGGCAUUAAAUGUAUGCAAGAGGAAGUGCCACUGUAAUCCAAGAUGGUGCUGUGCUGUAAAUGAGAAAAUGUAAAAACGAGGUUAAAUCAAGUGUUGUGUGAGAAAGAGGAUUAUCUUUAAAUUAAAUGCGCUGGCCAGAUAUUGUGAGGACAGACUGUGUGCAUGUAAACUUGGAGGUAACAUGAGACUGAAAUUAUAUGAUGUGGUCAACCGGAAAUUGAAUGUUGGUUGAUGCUCUUGUCUGAUUCUUUUGUUUUUAUGAAUUUUAUGAACAAUAUGUAAUUUUAUGUACAAUACAGGCACAUAAAAGUGAAAAUUAUUUGAUUCUAGGUAUUUUCUCCAAAAAGCUGCUUCUGUUUAUCAGGACAGGAUGCUUUUCUCUUGUUUGAGAUGGUUGCUUAAAUCCUAGUGUUUUCUCUGAGGUCCUUUCGACAAGAUUGCUGCACAGUUUCAAGUGGAUAGAUUCAGGCAGGAGGAGAGAGACGUAUGUGUGAGGUACAGAGGGAGGAUUGACGGCUACUGCAGACUUUAUUAUUCCUGGUAUGGAAUUCCGCCCAUUUCGUUGGUGCAGUUUGUCAUCCACUCAAGAGGUUCCAGAUCUCUGUGUCAUAAUUAAUCACUGUGGUUACAUUGGGCAGCCGUGACCCACUGUGCAACAGCUGCUGAUAUUCUAUUUCCCACAAUGCACAAGGAGAGACAGAGGUCACAAUGCUUAUUGGGAUCAUCAAACUGUUGCCGUGGUGACCGACCACUGGAAAGUCUGAAUCAUGAUGGAAGUGACAUGAAGUUUGCUGCGCUGAAGAUAUUUUGUUAACCUGCUGCAAUGACGGAAGCGUGACAUUCCUCUAUUCCCGUCCUGUCCUGUGGUGACGUGUGUCAGUUGAGAAAUUCCAGCCGUUUUUGAAUCCUGUCCCAGAGGCAGACACAACAACAACAGGAAGUAAGGCCAUUUUCACAGGUGUCAGGAAACACAGGAAACAAACAAGUGGGAUGCUGGGAAACAGUCUCAUAUGAGAACUCUGCGAGGUGAGGGAUCUGACGGUUAUUAAUAGUCAGCGGUGGGUAUUUUCAGAACUUGUGUUGAAGCGCAUCUGCUGUACUGCUCAGGAUGAGGACGGGUCACGGGGCAGUUUUCAUACAGAAACCUCUGUAAAGGAGGUCAAAGCAUCUGAAUGCACUUUACAUACAUUUUCAAAGUUUAUAUUUUAUUUUUAAGGGUGUAGAAUAUUUGUAUUUGGUUUUGUAUUAGUUAAAAAAUGUGUCUAAUUGUAAGCAGAAGGCCUACUUGUUUGUAUUCGGGGCUAGUUGUCACAUGGAGAAGUUGACAAAAGGUUUGUAUCAGUAACUUUUUUAUGGGUGAAGUCUAAUUACACAAUUAAAUCUGAUCUGAAUACAAAUACCAAAGCAUGUCACCAUGCUUUCUAAAUACACCUAUUUUCCUCUAGCAGUGGUUUUGGAUGUUGGUUUUAAAGUCCCCCUAGUCAGUCAUUUUAUCCCUUAAAAAUCAUCUUUGAUCAUCAAAAUGACAUAUUUAAACAUUUUUUCCAUUCUUUAAGCCUUAAAAUAGCUUGAAUGUAACUCUACACCCUUGCCUCAUUUAGUAUAUGCCGUCUAUGAAUAUGCAAAUUAGCCCCGCCUCCACUCACUCACCAGUUCAGAGAUCCACUCAUUGACGAUCCCACUUUGACGCGAUUGGUUACAAGGUAAUCUGUGACGUCAGAAACACCAGCGAUUUUAAACUGAGGCUGUCUUUAGAUCACUGCAGUUUUAAAGAGAAAAUACUGCGCAAUGGUGUUGACUGUGAUGGCGUUGGUGUUGACAAUGAAUUUGCAUAUGGUUCAUCUUAAAGCAUAUUAAAAACACCACAUAGAUAUAUAUGUGACCUUAAGUUAGGAGCUAAUUUUAUCAUGAAAAAAAGUUCAUGUUUUACUUUUUUCUGUUUAAAGUUUGCUAAAUCUAAAUUUCAGUAUAGUUUUUUAAAGACAGAAUUUUAAAUAUAAAAUAAAGCUAUAAUUC